rnacentral:rRNA from 1 species
AUGUGGCAACAAAAUAACAUAUUCAGGACCAGACCUUCCGGAGGACAUCUGGCGUCAUAUACAUUUCCUACUGCCAAUGCAAGAUGCUGCCCGUGCUGCCUGUGUGUCUCACUCCUUUCUAUGCUCCUGGAUGUGCAACUCUCGCUUGGAAAGUCACGGAAAAUGAAGAACCUGAUGUUGAACAAUAGCUGUGGCAUCAGUUAUGCUAUUGACAACCUUCCUUCCUGUGCGCCGAAAGUUGAGACUCUUACCAUACAUUCUAGUUAUGAGAUAAUUAAUGCACCAGUGGCGUCUGGCAAAUUUUGCCACCUCAAGAUCUUGAUUAUUUAUUUUUUGGGACUCCAUUCUCAUCGGGACUAUGAUUAUUUAUCCUUGGUUUCUUUUUUUGAUGCUUCUCCUUUGUUGGAGAAGUUUGUCUUGUUUGUAUCACCUGUGCAGUCCAAGUAUGACUGGUUUGAGGGGGAUCCCUCAUCUCUGAGACAAAUGUCAGAACACCGCCAUCGCAACCUCAAGAGUGUGAAGAUCAGCAGUUUCUGCCCCCAAAAAAGCAUGGUUGAGCUAGCACGUCAUAUUCUUGAGAAUGCAACAUCGCUUGAGUGCCUUACAUUGGACACUACUCCUAUUAGUUACCGAUGUUCUGGCGAUAUAUUGGACAGGAAAUGCCCUCCACUGGAAACUGCAUGUGUAAGGGAUGCACAUAAAUCGCUCUUGGCUGUGAGAACAUACAUCGAGGGGAAAGUUAGCUCUACAGUCAAGUUAAACCUACUAGGGCCUUGCACCCGGUGUUAUGCUAUGUGCAAUUCAGAUGUGAAAUCAUCAUGCUUAUCCUGUGUUAAAUUAUGUAAGUUUAGCUGUGUUGUGCUUUGCAUUUUAAGUUUGUAUAGCUGUCUAGUGUUUGGGGUUCUGUGA